GACAGAGGUGCCAAGCGUUAGGCGGAAUCACUGGGCUUAAAGCGUGUGUAGGCGGAUUUGUAAGUACCUUGUGAAAUCCCACGGCUCAACCGUGGAACUGCUCGGUAUACUGCUUAUCUUGAGCCACUUAGGGGCUACCGGAACAAAUGGUGGAGCGGUGAAAUGCGUAGAUAUCAUUUGGAACGCCAAUGGUGAAAACAGGUAGCUGGGAGUGUGCUGACGCUGAGACAUGAAAGCCAGGGGAGCGAACGGG
rnacentral:rRNA from 1 species